rnacentral:rRNA from 1 species
GUGCUAAGGUAGCAUAAUCAUUUGCUACUUAAUUGGUAGCUGGGAUGAAAGGUUAAACUAGUUUACUCAGUUUGUUGUGUUUUGUAAGAAAUUAAAGUCGAGGUAAGAAUUCUUUGAUCUGCUAGGGGACGAUAAGACCCUAGAAGCUUAACAAUAAGAGUAUUUAUUAGUUAUAAAAAUUAAUUUGUUUUACUGGGGCGGUAAAGGUAUAUAAACUAUUAGUGUAUUGAUAGAUCCUUAAAAUAAAGAUAAAACGGGAAAGUUAUUCUAGGGGUAACAGUGCAAUAUUUUUGGAGAGAUCAUAUCGAUAAAAAUGUUUGCAACCUCGAUGUUGAAUUAAGAUGUCUACGUGAAGCAGCAGGUACGUGAGAAGGUUUGUUCAACCUUUAAAUUUUUACAUGAUCUGAGUUCAAACCG